AAAGCAUUAAGUUAAUAAAACUGAUGUCCUUCAAAGUCAUUAUUGGCCUUGUCAUGCUUAG
rnacentral:tRNA from 1 species